rnacentral:rRNA from 1 species
GAGUUUGAUCGUGGCUCAGAUUGAACGCUGGCGGCAUGCCUUACACAUGCAAGUCGAACGGCAGCAUGAUCUAGCUUGCUAGAUUGAUGGCGAGUGGCGAACGGGUGAGUAAUACAUCGGAACGUGCCCUGUAGUGGGGGAUAACUAGUCGAAAGAUUAGCUAAUACCGCAUACGACCUGAGGGUGAAAGUGGGGGACCGCAAGGCCUCAUGCUAUAGGAGCGGCCGAUGUCUGAUUAGCUAGUUGGUGGGGUAAAGGCCCACCAAGGCGACGAUCAGUAGCUGGUCUGAGAGGACGAUCAGCCACACUGGGACUGAGACACGGCCCAGACUCCUACGGGAGGCAGCAGUGGGGAAUUUUGGACAAUGGGCGAAAGCCUGAUCCAGCAAUGCCGCGUGUGUGAGAAGGCCUGGUGUAG